AUUGAACGCUGGCGGCAUGCCUUACACAUGCAAGUCGAACGGUAACAGGUCUUCGGACGCUGACGAGUGGCGAACGGGUGAGUAAUACAUCGGAACGUGCCCAGUCGUGGGGGAUAACUACGCGAAAGCGUAGCUAAUACCGCAUACGCCCUACGGGGGAAAGGAGGGGAUCCGCAAGGACCUUUCACUAUUGGAGCGGCCGAUAUCGGAUUAGCUAGUUGGUGAGGUAAGGGCUCACCAAGGCGACGAUCCGUAGCUGGUUUGAGAGGACGACCAGCCACACUGGGACUGAGACACGGCCCAG
rnacentral:rRNA from 1 species